GAUGAACGCUGGCGGCGUGCCUAAUACAUGCAAGUCGAGCGAACAGACGAGGAGCUUGCUCCUCUGACGUUAGCGGCGGACGGGUGAGUAACACGUGGAUAACCUACCUAUAAGACUGGGAUAACUUCGGGAAACCGGAGCUAAUAACGGAUAAUAUAUUGAACCGCAUGGUUCAAUAGUGAAAGACGGUUUUGCUUUCACUUAUAGAUUGAUCCGCGCCGCAUUAGCUAGUUGGUAAGGUAACGGCUUACCAAGGCAACGAUGCGUAGCCGACCUGAGAGGGUGAUCGGCCACACUGGAACUGAGACACGGUCCAGACUCCUACGGGAGGCAGCAGUAGGGAAUCUUCCGCAAUGGGCGAAAGCUUGACGGAGCAACGCCGCGUGAGUGAUGAAGGUCUUCGGAUCGUAAAACUCUGUUAUUAGGGAAGAACAAAUGUGUAAGUAACUAUGCACGUCUUGACGGUACCUAAUCAGAAAGCCACGGCUAACUACGUG
rnacentral:rRNA from 1 species